AACGCACAUUGCGCCCAUUGGUAUUCCGAUGGGCAUGCCUGUUCGAGCGUCAUUAUCCUUCCUCAAACCUUGCGUUUGGUGUUGGACCGCGUUGGUCGAGCGACCAACUGGUCUCAAAGACAAUGACGGCGUCCGUGGGACCCUCGGUGCAACGAGCUUCUAAGGAGCACGCGUCGAGUUUCAAGGACCCUCCGGGCCGGUCUUGACCUUUAUUUUCUCAGGUUGACCUCGGAUCAGGUAGGAAUACCCGCUGAACUUAA
rnacentral:misc_RNA from 1 species